AUUGAACGCUGGCGGAAUGCUUUACACAUGCAAGUCGAACGGCAGCACGGGGCAACCUGGUGGCGAGUAGCGAACGGGUGAGUAAUACAUCGGAACGUGCCCAAUCGUGGGGGAUAACGUAGCGAAGUUACGCUAAUACCGCAUACGAUCUACGGAUGAAAGCGGGGGAUCGCAAGGCCUCGCGCGAAUGGAGUCGGCCGAUGUCAGAUUAGGUAGUUGGUGGGGUAAAGGCUCACCAAGCCAACGAUCUGUAGCUGGUCUGAGAGGACGACCAGCCACGACUGGAACUGAGACACGGUCCAGACUCCUACGGGAGGCAGCAGUGGGGAAUUUUGGACAAUGGGCGCAAGCCUGAUCCAGCCAUUCCGCGUGCAGGAUGAAGGCCUUC
rnacentral:rRNA from 1 species